rnacentral:rRNA from 1 species
AUUAAACGCUGGCGGCAUGCCUUACACAUGCAAGUCGAACGGCAGCACGGGGGCAACCCUGGUGGCGAGUGGCGAACGGGUGAGUAAAGCAUCGGAACGUGCCCUGGAGUGGGGGAUAACGUAGCGAAAGUUACGCUAAUACCGCAUAUUCUGUGAGCAGGAAAGCAGGGGAUCGCAAGACCUUGCGCUCUGGGAGCGGCCGAUGUCGGAUUAGCUAGUUGGUGGGGUAACGGCCUACCGAGGCGACGAUGGGUAGCUGGUCUGAGAGGAUGGUCAGCCGGAUCGGGACUGAGACACGGCCCGGACUCCUACGGGGGGCAGCAAUCAGGAAUAUUGCGCAAUGGGGGAAACCCUGACGCAGCGACGCCGCGUGCGGGAUGAAGGCCUUGGUCGUAACCGCUGUUGUGGGAGACGAAUGACUGUCGAUGAGGCAGUGGAGACGGUAUCUCACGAGGAAGCCCGGCUAACUACGUGCCAGCAGCCGCGGUAAU